rnacentral:piRNA from 1 species
UCUAAUGCUGACAAAAGAGUCUCAGGCCUC